AUUGAACGCUGGCGGCAUGCCUUACACAUGCAAGUCGAACGGUAACAGGUCUUCGGAUGCUGACGAGUGGCGAACGGGUGAGUAAUACAUCGGAACGUGCCUAGUAGUGGGGGAUAACUACAAGAAAGAGUGGCUAAUACCGCAUGAGAUCUAAGGAUGAAAGAAGGGGAUCGCACGACCUUGUGCUACUAGAGCGGCCGAUGGCAGAUUAGGUAGUUGGUUGGAUAAAAGAUUACCAAGCCGACGAUCUGUAGUUGGUAUGAGUGGACGAUCAGCCACACUGGGACUGAGAAACGGCCCAGACUCCUACGGGAGGCAGCAGUGGGGAAUUUUGGACAAUGGGCGCAAGCCUGAUCCAGCAAUGCCGCGUGCAGGAUGAAGGCCUUCGGGUUGUAAACUGCUUUUGUACGGAACGAAAAGCCCCGGGUUAAUACCCUGGGGUCAUGACGGUACCGUAAGAAUAAGCACCGGCUAACUACGUGCCAGCAGCCGCCGUAAAAC
rnacentral:rRNA from 1 species